rnacentral:rRNA from 1 species
UGAGGAAUAUUGGUCAAUGGGCGAGAGCCUGAACCAGCCAAGUCGCGUGAGGGACGACGGCCCUACGGGUUGUAAACCUCUUUUGCCGGGGGACAAACGGCGGCACGCGUGCCGUCCUGAGGGUACCCGGAGAAAAAGCAUCGGCUAACUCCGUGCC